rfam:Rhodnius prolixus Rhodnius_prolixus-3.0.3-7564.1, whole genome shotgun sequence.
AAUUUUAUUGCUCACCUGUUUAACAAAAACAUGUCCUUUUAGGAAUAUUUAUAUAAGGUCUGGCCUGCCCAAUGAGUGAUUGAAUGGCUGCGGUAUUUUGACCGUGCUAAGGUAGCAUAAUCAUUUGUCUUUUAAUUGAGGGCUUGUAUGAAAGGUUGGAUGAAGUAAUA